CCUACGGGCGGCAGCAGUAGGGAAUCUUCCACAAUGGACGAAAGUCUGAUGGAGCAACGCCGCGUGCGUGAAGAAGGGUUUCGGCUCGUAAAGCUCUGUUGGUAGUGAAGAAAGAUAGGGUUCGUAACUGGCCUUUAUUUGACGGUAAUUAUUUAGAUAGUCACGGCUAACUACGUGCACGCCGCCGCGGUAAUACGUAGGUGGCAAGCGUUGUCUGGAUUUAUUGGGCGUAAAGCGAGUGCAGGCGGUUCAAUAAGUCUGAUGUGAAAGCCUUCGGCUCAACCGGAGAAUUGCAUCAGAAACUGUUGAGCUUGAGUGCAGAUGAGGAGAGUGGAACUUAAUGUGUAGCGGUGGAAUGCGUAGAUAUA
rnacentral:rRNA from 1 species